GAUUAAGUUAUUAAGGGCGCACGGUGGAUGCCUUGGCACUAGAAGCCGAUGAAGGACGUUACUAACGACGAUAUGCGUUUGGGGAGCUGUAAGUAAGUCUUUGAUCCAGAGUAUUUCCGAAGUGGGGAAACCCAGCAUGAGUUAUGUCAUGUUAUCGAUAUGUGAAUACAUAGCAUAUCAGAAGGCACACCCGGAGAACUGAAACAUCUUAGUACCCGGAGGAAGAGAAAGAAAAUUCGAUUCCCUUAGUAGCGGCGAGCGAAACGGGAAGAGCCCAAACCAACAAGCUUGCUUGUUGGGGUUGUAGGACACUCUAUACGGAGUUACAAAGGACGACAUUAGACGAAUCAUCUGGAAAGAUGAAUCAAAGAAGGUAAUAAUCCUGUAGUCGAAAAUGUUGUCUCUCUUGAGUGGAUCCUGAGUACGACGGAGCACGUGAAAUUCCGUCGGAAUCUGGGAGGACCAUCUCCUAAGGCUAAAUACUCUCUAGUGACCGAUAGUGAACCAGUACCGUGAGGGAAAGGUGAAAAGCACCCCGGAAGGGGAGUGAAAUAGAACCUGAAACCGUGUGCUUACAAGUAGUCAGAGCCCGUUAAUGGGUGAUGGCGUGCCUUUUGUAGAAUGAACCGGCGAGUUACGAUUUGAUGCAAGGUUAAGCAGUAAAUGUGGAGCCGUAGCGAAAGCGAGUCUGAAUAGGGCGUUUAGUAUUUGGUCGUAGACCCGAAACCAGGUGAUCUACCCUUGGUCAGGUUGAAGUUCAGGUAACACUGAAUGGAGGACCGAACCGACUUACGUUGAAAAGUGAGCGGAUGAACUGAGGGUAGCGGAGAAAUUCCAAUCGAACCUGGAGAUAGCUGGUUCUCUCCGAAAUAGCUUUAGGGCUAGCCUCAAGUGAUGAUUAUUGGAGGUAGAGCACUGUUUGGACGAGGGGCCCCUCUCGGGUUACCGAAUUCAGACAAACUCCGAAUGCCAAUUAAUUUAACUUGGGAGUCAGAACAUGGGUGAUAAGGUCCGUGUUCGAAAGGGAAACAGCCCAGACCACCAGCUAAGGUCCCAAAAUAUAUGUUAAGUGGAAAAGGAUGUGGCGUUGCCCAGACAACUAGGAUGUUGGCUUAGAAGCAGCCAUCAUUUAAAGAGUGCGUAAUAGCUCACUAGUCGAGUGACACUGCGCCGAAAAUGUACCGGGGCUAAACAUAUUACCGAAGCUGUGGAUUGUCCUUUGGACAAUGGUAGGAGAGCGUUCUAAGGGCGUUGAAGCAUGAUCGUAAGGACAUGUGGAGCGCUUAGAAGUGAGAAUGCCGGUGUGAGUAGCGAAAGACGGGUGAGAAUCCCGUCCACCGAUUGACUAAGGUUUCCAGAGGAAGGCUCGUCCGCUCUGGGUUAGUCGGGUCCUAAGCUGAGGCCGACAGGCGUAGGCGAUGGAUAACAGGUUGAUAUUCCUGUACCACCUAUAAUCGUUUUAAUCGAUGGGGGGACGCAGUAGGAUAGGCGAAGCGUGCGAUUGGAUUGCACGUCUAAGCAGUAAGGCUGAGUAUUAGGCAAAUCCGGUACUCGUUAAGGCUGAGCUGUGAUGGGGAGAAGACAUUGUGUCUUCGAGUCGUUGAUUUCACACUGCCGAGAAAAGCCUCUAGAUAGAAAAUAGGUGCCCGUACCGCAAACCGACACAGGUAGUCAAGAUGAGAAUUCUAAGGUGAGCGAGCGAACUCUCGUUAAGGAACUCGGCAAAAUGACCCCGUAACUUCGGGAGAAGGGGUGCUCUUUAGGGUUAACGCCCAGAAGAGCCGCAGUGAAUAGGCCCAAGCGACUGUUUAUACAAAACACAGGUCUCUGCUAAACCGUAAGGUGAUGUAUAGGGGCUGACGCCUGCCCGGUGCUGGAAGGUUAAGAGGAGUGGUUAGCUUCUGCGAAGCUACGAAUCGAAGCCCCAGUAAACGGCGGCCGUAACUAUAACGGUCCUAAGGUAGCGAAAUUCCUUGUCGGGUAAGUUCCGACCCGCACGAAAGGCGUAACGAUUUGGGCACUGUCUCAACGAGAGACUCGGUGAAAUCAUAGUACCUGUGAAGAUGCAGGUUACCCGCGACAGGACGGAAAGACCCCGUGGAGCUUUACUGUAGCCUGAUAUUGAAAUUCGGCACAGCUUGUACAGGAUAGGUAGGAGCCUUUGAAACGUGAGCGCUAGCUUACGUGGAGGCGCUGGUGGGAUACUACCCUAGCUGUGUUGGCUUUCUAACCCGCACCACUUAUCGUGGUGGGAGACAGUGUCAGGCGGGCAGUUUGACUGGGGCGGUCGCCUCCUAAAAGGUAACGGAGGCGCUCAAAGGUUCCCUCAGAAUGGUUGGAAAUCAUUCAUAGAGUGUAAAGGCAUAAGGGAGCUUGACUGCGAGACCUACAAGUCGAGCAGGGUCGAAAGACGGACUUAGUGAUCCGGUGGUUCCGCAUGGAAGGGCCAUCGCUCAACGGAUAAAAGCUACCCCGGGGAUAACAGGCUUAUCUCCCCCAAGAGUUCACAUCGACGGGGAGGUUUGGCACCUCGAUGUCGGCUCAUCGCAUCCUGGGGCUGUAGUCAGUCCCAAGGGUUGGGCUGUUCGCCCAUUAAAGCGGUACGCGAGCUGGGUUCAGAACGUCGUGAGACAGUUCGGUCCCUAUCCGUCGUGGGCGUAGGAAAUUUGAGAGGAGCUGUCCUUAGUACGAGAGGACCGGGAUGGACAUACCUCUGGUGUACCAGUUGUCGUGCCAACGGCAUAGCUGGGUAGCUAUGUGUGGACGGGAUAAGUGCUGAAAGCAUCUAAGCAUGAAGCCCCCCUCAAGAUGAGAUUUCCCAACUUCGGUUAUAAGAUCCCUCAAAGAUGAUGAGGUUAAUAGGUUCGAGGUGGAAGCAUGGUGACAUGUGGAGCUGACGAAUACUAAUCGAUCGAAGACUUAAUCAA
rnacentral:rRNA from 1 species